UACGUAGGGGGCAAGCGUUGUCCGGAAUCAUUGGGGGUAAAGAGCGCGUAGGCGGCCGGAUAAGUCGGGGGUGAAAGUCACAGGCUCAACCUGUGAAUGCCGCUGGAAACUGUCUGGCUAGAGUCCGGAAGGGGCGAGUGGAAUUCCUGGUGUAGCGGUGAAAUGCGCAGAUAUCAGGAGGAACACCAAUGGCGAAGGCAGCUCGCUGGAACGGUACUGACGCUGUGGCGCGAAAGCGUGGGGAGCGAACAGG
rnacentral:rRNA from 1 species